rnacentral:ncRNA from 1 species
CAGUUCGGUCCCUAUCUGUCGCGGGCGCAGGAAGUUUGAGGAGAGCUGUCCUUAGUACGAGAGGACCGGGAUGGACGCACCGCUGGUGCACCAGUUGUCACGCCAGUGGCACAGCUGGGUAGCUAUGUGCGGACGGGAUAAGCGCUGAAAGCAUCUAAGCGUGAAGCCCCCUCCAAGAUGAGACUUCCCACAGCGCAAGCUGGUAAGACC